rnacentral:rRNA from 1 species
CCUACGGGUGGCAGCAGUGGGGAAUAUUGCGCAAUGGGCGAAAGCCUGACGCAGCGACGCCGCGUGAGGGAUGAAGGUCUUCGGAUCGUAAACCUCUGUCAGCAGGGAAGAACGGUCACUGUGCUAAUCAGCAGUGAAUUGACGGUACCUGCAAAUGAAGCAACGGCUAACUCCGUGCCAGCAGCCGCGGUAAUACGGAGGGGGCGAGCGUUAAUCGGAAUUACUGGGCGUAAAGCGCGCGUAGGCGGUAUGUCAAGUCAAGGGUGAAAUCCCCGCGCUCAACGUGGGAGGUGCCUUUGAAACUGGCAAACUUGAGUGUGUGAGAGGAGAGUGGAAUUCCAGGUGUAGGGGUGAAAUCCGUAGAUAUCUGGAGGAACAUCAGUGGCGAAGGCGACUAUCUGGCACAUAACUGACGCUGAGGAGCGAAAGCGUGGGUAGCAAACAGGAUUAGAUACCCGUGUAGUC